CUUUCAGUGUCCGAGUUGUAAUUUGAAGAAGGUAUCUUUGGGUCUGGCUCUUGUCUAUGUUUCUUGGAACAGAACGUCACAGAGGGUGAGAAUCCCGUGCGAUGAGAUGUCCCAGACCUAUGUAAAGUUCCUUCGAAGAGUCGAGUUGUUUGGGAAUGCAGCUCUAAGUGGGUGGUAAAUUCCAUCUAAAGCUAAAUAUUGGCGAGAGACCGAUAGCGAACAAGUACAGUGAUGGAAAGAUGAAAAGAACUUUGAAAAGAGAGUGAAAAAGUACGUGAAAUUGUUGAAAGGGAAGGGCUUGAGAUCAGACUUGGUAUUUUGUAUGUUACUCUCUCGGGGGUGGCCUCUACAGUUUACCGGGCCAGCAUCAGUUUGAGCGGUAGGAUAAGUGCAAAGAAAUGUGGCACUGCUUCGGUAGUGUGUUAUAGUCUUUGUCGAUACUGCCAGCUUAGACUGAGGACUGCGGCUUCGGCCUAGGAUGUUGGCAUAAUGAUCUUAAGUCGCCCGUCU
rnacentral:rRNA from 1 species